rnacentral:rRNA from 1 species
GCAUAAUCUCUACGGAGAAAAGCAGGGGAUCGCAAGACCUUGCGCUUUUGGAGCGGCCGAUGUCUGAUUAGCUAGUUGGUGAGGUAAAGGCUUACCAAGGCUUCGAUCAGUAGCUGGUCUGAGAGGACGACCAGCCACACUGGGACUGAGACACGGCCCAGACUCCUACGGGCGGCAGCAGUGGGGAAUUUUGGACAAUGGGGGAAACCCUGAUCCAGCCAUGCCGCGUGAGUGAAGGAGGCCUUCGGGUUGUAAAGCUCUUUCAGCCGGAACGAAACGGUCACGGCUAAUACCCGUGAUCACUGACGGUACCGGAAGAAGAAG